rnacentral:rRNA from 1 species
AGAGUUUGAUCCUGGCUCAGAUUGAACGCUGGCGGCAUGCUUUACACAUGCAAGUCGAACGGCAGCACGAGUGCUUGCACUUGGUGGCGAGUGGCGAACGGGUGAGUAAUACAUCGGAACGUGUCCUAAAGUGGGGGAUAACGCAUCGAAAGAUGUGCUAAUACCGCAUAAUCUCUCAGGAGGAAAGCAGGGGAUCGAAAGACCUUGCGCUUUUGGAGCGGCCGAUGUCUGAUUAGCUAGCUGGUAGGGUAAUGGCUUACCAAGGCGACGAUCAGUAGUUGGUCUGAGAGGAUGGCCAACCACACUGGGACUGAGACACGGCCCAGACUCCUACGGGAGGCAGCAGUGGGGAAUUUUGGACAAUGGGGGAAACCCUGAUCCAGCAAUGCCGCGUGAGUGAAGAAGGCCUUCGGGUUGUAAAGCUCUUUCAGUUGAGAAGAAAAAGUUGUGACUAAUAAUCAUAAUUCAUGACGGUAUCGACAGAAGAAGCACCGGCUAACUACGUGCCAGCAGCCGCGGUAAUACGUAGGGUGCGAGCGUUAAUCGGAAUUACUGGGCGUAAAGGGUGCGCAGGCGGUUAUGUAAGUCAGAUGUGAAAUCCCCGGGC